rnacentral:rRNA from 1 species
AGAGUUUGAUCAUGGCUCAGGACGAACGCUGGCGGCGUGCCUAAUGCAUGCAAGUCGAGCGGGCUACGAUCUUCGGAUUGUAGCUUAGCGGCGAACGGGUGAGUAACACGUAGGUAAUCUACCCUUCAGAGGAGGACAACCUCAGGAAACUGAGGCUAAACCUUCAUACGUUCACUGGUAGGGAUACUGGUGAAGAAAGAGUUACCUUAGUGGUAGCUGCUGAAGGAUGAGCCUGCGGCCCAUCAGGUAGUUGGUGAGGUAACGGCUCACCAAGCCGAAGACGGGUAACCGGUCUGAGAGGAUGUCCGGUCACACUGGGACUGAGACACGGCCCAGACUCCUACGGGAGGCAGCAGCAGGGAAUCUUGGGCAAUGGGCGAAAGCCUGACCCAGCGACGCCGCGUGGAGGAAGAAGUCCUUCGGGGCGUAAACUCCUGGACUGGGGGACGAGGAAGGACGGUACCCCAGUAGAAAGGGACGGCUAACUACGUGCCAGCAGCCGCGGUAAAACGUAGGUCCCGAGCGUUGUUCGGAUUCACUGGGUGUAAAGGGCGCGUAGGUGGUUGUCUGUGUCUCAUGUGAAAACUCAGGGCUCAACUCUGAGAUUGCGUGGGAAACUAGGCAGCUAGAGGACGGUAGAGGGGAGUGGAAUUCCCGGUGUAGCGGUAAAAUGCGUAGAUAUCGGGAGGAACACCGGUGGCGAAGGCGGCUCUCUGGGGCCGAUCCUGACGCUGAGGCGCGAAAGCUAGGGGAGCGAACCGGAUUAGAUACCCGGGUAGUCCUAGCCGUAAACGAUGGAUACUAGGUGUAGGAGGUAUCGACCCCUUCUGUGCCGGAGUUUAACACAAUAAGUAUCCCGCCUGGGGGAGUACGGCCGCAAGUUGAAACUCAAAGGAAUUGACGG